rnacentral:rRNA from 1 species
UACGGAGGGUGCAAGCGUUAUCCGGAAUUACUGGGCGUAAAGGGCUCGUAGGUGGCCAACUAAGUCAGACGUGAAAUCCCUCGGCUUAACCGGGGAACUGCGUCUGAUACUGGAUGGCUUGAGUGUGGGAGAGGGAUGCGGAAUUCCAGGUGUAGCGGUGAAAUGCGUAGAUAUCUGGAGGAACACCGGUGGCGAAGGCGGCAUCCUGGACCACGACUGACGCUGAGUGAGCGAAAGCCAGGGGAGCAAACGGG